rfam:Firmicutes bacterium CAG:646 genomic scaffold, scf195
CAAAAUCCAAGGAAGAGAACAAGUCUGUGUUCCUAAGUGGUAUUUCAGAGAGUCUGCGGCUGGUGAAAGCAGAUAUACCGGGGAGAAUAGAUAUCAUCUCGAAGGAGCUGACUGAAAUAAUAGUAAGUUAUGCCGGAAUCCCCCGUUACAGGGAAAACGUAUGAAAGUACGUGAGAGCUGUAGAAAAUACAGAAAUAGGGUGGUACCGCGGAUUCUAUUCGUCCCUUUC